UCGGCAAAUUACAUCCGUAACUUCUGGAGAAGGAUGACCCUAGUACGGUGACGAUCCUCGCGAUCCGAGCCCGAGGGGGUGGCACAGACCAGGGGGUAGCGACUGUUUACCAAAAACACAGCAGCGUGCUAAGCCGCAAGGCGACGUAUACGCUGUGACUCCUGCCCAAUGCUGGAAGGUCACGGGGAACGGUUAGUCGAAAGGCGAAGCUGUGAACCUAAGCCCCAGUGAAUGGCGGCCGUAACUAUAACGGUCCUAAGGUAGCGAAAUUCCUUGUCGGGUAAGUUCCGACCUGCACGAAUGGAGUAACGACUUCCCCACUGUCUCAACCAUAGACCCGGCGAAAUUGAAGUACGAGUAAAGAUGCUCGUUAGCUGCGGAAGGACGGAAAGACCCCAUGGACCUUCACUAUAACUUGGUGUUGAGAUUUGAUCUGCGUUGUGUAGGAUAGGUGGGAGACUUGGAAGCAGUGGCGCCAGCCAUUGUGGAGUCAACGUUGAAAUACCACCCUACGUAUAUUGGGUCUCUAACCUUGGUCCAUCAUCUGGAUCAGGAACAGCGCCAGGCGGGUAGUUUGACUGGGGCGGUCGCCUCCUAAAAUGUAACGGAGGCGCCCAAAGGUUCCCUCAGGCUGGUUGGUAAUCAGCCGUCGAGUGCAAUGAUAUAAGGGAGCUUGACUGCGAGACUGACACGUCGAGCAGGUGCGAAAGCAGGGCAUAGUGACCCGGCCAUUGCGUGUGGAAGCGUGGUCGCUCAACGGAUAAAAGGUACCCUGGGGAUAACAGGCUAAUCUUUCCCAAGAGUCCAUAUCGACGGAAAGGUUUGGCACCUCGAUGUCGGCUCAUCGCAUCCUGGGGCUGAAGCAGGUCCCAAGGGUUGGGCUGUUCGCCCAUUAAAGCGGUACGCGAGCUGGGUUCAGAACGUCGUGAGACAGUUCGGUCCCUAUCCUCCGCAGCCGAAGGUGUAUUGAGGAAGGCUGUCCCUAGUACGAGAGGACCGGGACGGACGGAGCUCUGGUGUGUCUGUUGUCCUGCCAAGGGCAUGGCAGAUUAGCCACCUCCGGAAGGGAUAACCGCUGAAAGCAUCUAAGCGGGAAGCCCGUUCCAAGAUGAGUACACCCAUGCGGUCAACGCAGUAAGGCCCGUGACAAGACCAUCACGUUGAUAGGCCGGAAGUGUACGCACGGCAACGUGUUGAGCUGACCGGUACUAAUCGGCCGAGGGCUUGAUUUA
rnacentral:rRNA from 1 species